rnacentral:rRNA from 1 species
GUGGGGAAUAUUGCGCAAUGGGGGAAACCCUGACGCAGCGACGCCGUGUGAGGGAAGAAGGCUUUCGGGUCGUAAACCUCUGUCAGAAAGGAAGAACCUCCCAAGUCCGAAUAGGGCUUGGGACUGACGGUACUUUCAAAGGAAGCACCGGCUAACUCCGUGCCAGCAGCCGCGGUAAUACGGAGGGUGCAAGCGUUAAUCGGAAUCACUGGGCGUAAAGCGCGCGUAAGCCGCUUUGUAAGUCGGACGUGAAAGCCCUCGGCUCAACCGGGGAAGUGCGUUCGAUACUGCGAGGCUUGAGUCCUGGAGAGGGUGGCGGAAUUCCGGGUGUAGGAGUGAAAUCCGUAGAUAUCCGGAGGAACACCGGUGGCGAAGGCGGCCACCUGGACAAAGACUGACGCUCAGGUGCGAAAGCGUGGGGAGCAAACAGGAUUAGAAACCCCUGUAGUCC